CCUGAGAGGGGGAGGAGGCAGAGGAGGCAGAGAGCAGUGUCUCAAAGGCCUGGAUCCCGGUGGAGGCUCAUUCCCAGCAGACUGACAGCCUUUCAGGGGAAGGGUGGCUUUGGGGGUCUGGGCAGCAGAGCCUGUAUCUGGACAUAAUCCCUCAGUUCUCAACUCAGGGACAAAUGGACUCUCGGAAGUGAUGGAAGUUACUUUCCAGACAACUCAGCAAAAAUGCGACAACAAGAAAAACUUAUCUUUUGGCAUUCCCUCUGCCUCAAAUACUAACGCUCGGCCACUGCCUCACGUUUCCAUUUUCCUAUGUCUUCCCUUCAGAGUUAACUUUCAUCAAGACCUUAUUGUCCCCUAACCGGGCACAGAGGGGCACCCGAGCUGUUAGAAUGGCCAGGUCCCUGUACCAACUCCAGACUUUCCUUCUGCCAAGGAUGUCUGUCAUAUCCACACGAGCCAGGUCAGAAAGUGAACGUGGAGGAAAACCAUCGGUCAGGGAGAACUGUGGUCUUCUUACCCCCUGGACACCGGGCGGGAAGACGUAUUGGAUGACAAUGGUGCCGUACUUCUCAUAGCUGGGUAGCAGGAGGGUGGCAUCCUUGGAGACCAGCAUCCGCCCAUUCUGGGGCUGGUUGCCCACCAGCUGCCCGUAGAAGCGGCCACACAUGGGGCAGGCUUUCUUCACCUGCAGGGCCCUCGUGAUGCAGCCCUCACAGAAGGAGUGGCGGCACUUCUCCAGCGUCUUGGCGUUCUGGAUCUCCCCCAGGCAGAUGGGGCAGAUGCUCUCCUGCUCUUCAGCCCCCUCCCGAAGACGCGGAGGGAGUGGAGGGGGCAGGGGGGGAGGGGGAGGGGGGAGCCCGCGUGCUCCUGGGGGCAGGAGCGGGGCUGCCCGAAGAGGAGGCGGACCUGGGCGGUGCAGCUCAGGGUGCUCCCCACCACCCCCCAAAGCCAGGCAGCCCAUGAGCUCCCCCUGCCUCUGAGCUUUCUUCAGCUCUUUCUCGGCCUCUUUCAGUAGCCCCUUGAGAGCCUUGCGGGCCAGGUAGAGCCCAUUGGGAGGGGCCGGGGGAGGGCCCUGCGGGGAAAGCUGGAGCACGUAGAUGUCGGAAGUCUCUCCAUCGAUGAGGAUGGACACUCGGUGCUCCUCCCGGAGCCGGGCCAGCCGGGCUGGGGUCUCCUUGCUCAGGAAGUCCCACACGGGCUUGGAGACGGUCACUUUGUUCUUGCAGGUGCCUCCGCAGGCUGCCAUUCUGGACAGGACGAACGACACUGCCCCCAGGGUGAAGGGACUCAGAGUGGGGAGUCCCCACCUGACGCGCAGGCGCGCCUCCCACUCAGGUGCCUCCAAACCCCACAUCACCUCUGUUCCCCUCAAAGCCGCCCCCAACACCUCCCGCAAACUGGUUUGUUUGUUUGUUUGUUUGUUUUUCCAUUUCCCCUUCUCUCCCAUAGUCCCAGCACCUGCUGGGGAACUAGCUUCCCAUAUUUCAUUAUUAUCUAAGUCAA